UACAUAGGGUGCAAGCGCUGUCCGGAAUUAUUGGGCGUAAAGAGCUCGUAUGUCGAUUGCCGGGUCGAUUGUGAAAAUCUGAGGCUCAACCUCAGACCUGCUUUCGAUACGGGCAAACUAGAGUGUGGUAGGGGAGACUGGAAUUCCUGGUGUAGCGGUGGAAUGCGCAGAUAUCAGGAGGAACACCAAUGGCGAAGGCAGGUCUCUGGGCCAUAACUGACACUGAGGAGCGAAAGCGCGGGGAGCGAACAGGAUUAGAUACCCUGGUAGUCCGCGCUGUAAACGAUGGGCACUAGCUGUGAGAGCCUUCCACGGUUCUCGCGACGCAGCAAACGCAUUAAGUGCCCCGCCUGGGGAGUACGGUCGCAAGAUUAAAACUCAAAGGAAUUGACGGGGCCCCGCACAAGCAGCGGAGCAUGCGGCUUAAUUCGACGCAACGCGGAGAACCUUACCAAGGCUUGACAUAUAGCGAAAAGUGGCAGAGAUGUCAUGUCCGCAAGGGCGCUAUACAGGUGGUGCAUGGUUGUCGUCAGCUCGUGUCGUGAGAUGUUGGGUUAAGUCCCGCAACGAGCGCAACCCUCGUUCUGUGUUACCAGCAUUCAGUUGGGGGCUCACAGGAGACUGCCGGGGUCAACUCGGAGGAAGGUGGGGAAGACGUCAAAUCCUCAUGCCCCUUAUGUCUUGGGCUGCACGCAUGCUACAAUGGCCGGUACAAAGUGCUGCGAAAUCGUAAGAUUUAGCGAAUCACAUAAAGCCGGUUUCAGUUCGGAUUGAGGUGUGCAACUCGACCUCAUGAAGUCGGAGUUGCUAGUAAUCGUAGAUCAGCAACGCUGCGGUGAAUACGUUCCCGGGGCU
rnacentral:rRNA from 1 species